UGGGGAAUAUUGGGCAAUGGGGGAAACCCUGACCCAGCAACGCCGCGUGAGGGAAGAAGGUUUUCGGAUUGUAAAUCUCUGUCCUUGGUGAAGAAAGAGAUGACGGUAGCCAAGGAGGAAGCCCCGGCUAACUACGUGCCAGCAGCCGCGGUAAUACGUAGGGGGCGAGCGUUGUCCGGAAUGACUGGGCGUAAAGGGCGUGUAGGCGGCCGAUUAAGUCCGGAGUGAAAGUCCUGCUUUCAAGGUGGGAAUUGCUUUGGAAACUGGUUGGCUUGAGUGCGGAAGAGGUAAGUGGAAUUCCCAGUGUAGCGGUGAAAUGCGUAGAGAUUGGGAGGAACACCAGUGGCGAAGGCGACUUACUGGGCCGUAACUGACGCUGAGGCGCGAAAGCGUGGGGAGCGAACAG
rnacentral:rRNA from 1 species